AGGGUGUAAACGCUGCGGGCUUGGUGUUGGGGGUCCUUAGUGGGCGCCCAGUGCCGGAGAGAAGUUGUUAAGCCUGCUGCUUGGGGAGUAUGUCCGCAAGGAUGAAACUUAGAGGAAUUGGCGGGGGAGCACCGCAACGGGAGGAGCGUGCGGUUCAAUUGGAUUCAACGCCGAAAAACUCACCAGGAGCGACGGAUAUAUGAAGGUCAAGCUGAUGACUUUACCUGAUUUUCCGAGAGGUGGUGCAUGGCGUGUGACUGU
rnacentral:rRNA from 1 species